rnacentral:rRNA from 1 species
UACGUAGGCAGCGAGCGUUGUUCGGAGUUACUGGGCGUAAAGGGUGUGUAGGCGGUUCUCUAAGUUUGGUGUGAAAUCUCCCGGCUCAACCGGGAGGGUGCGCCGAAAACUGGAGGGCUAGAGUGCGGGAAGGGAGAGUAGAAUCCGUGGUGUAGCGGUGAAAUGCGUAGAUAUCAGGAGGAAUACCGGUGGUGUAGACGGCUCUCUGGACCGCGACUGACGCUAGACACGAAAGCGUGGGUAGCAAACAGGGAUUAGAUACCCUUA